CCACAAUGUGGGCAACCACGAUGGGGGAACUCCAAGUGCCUACACUUUUGUGUAGGCUGUUCUCGAGCCUAAAAAGCUCGAGAAGUAAGGGCCGGGUAAGACGGGUGCCAGCCGCCGCGGUAAUACCCGCGGCCCGAGUGGUGCUCAUUAUUAUUGAGCCUAAAGCGUCCGUAGCUGGCCGGGCAAAUCUCCGGGUAAAUCGGACGGCUCAACUGUCCGAAUUCCGGAGACACUGCUCGGCUUGGGAUCGGGAGAGGGUGAAGGUACUCCCUGGGUAGGGGUAAAAUCCUGUAAUCCGGGGGGGACCACCAGUGGCGAAGGCGUUCACCUAGAACGAAUCCGACAGUGAGGGACGAAGCCCUAGGGCGCAAACGGG
rnacentral:rRNA from 1 species